UGAGUAAUUAACCUGCAGCCAUCUGCUUUUUGGUCGAUAACCACCUGUCUACCAAUGGCUUCCUCCCAGGGAGAGGCUACCCUACACUCCAAGGGCAACAUUAUGACGGGUCUGCCCUCUCUAAUCCCCAGCAUCUCCAUCCUGCCUAUGUCUGCACAGAGAGCUACUCCCCAGUAACCUGGAGUCUGCCUUCUCCCUUCUCAGGUGACAUCACAGUGGAGGGUCUUGAUGGAGAGCGACCACUGCAGACUGGGGAAGUGGUCAUCAUUGUGGUGGUGUUGCUCAUGUGGGCUGCUGUAAUUGGGCUGUUCUGCCGUCAGUAUGACAUCAUCAAGGACAACGACUCCAACAACAAUCCCAAGGAGAAGGGAAAGGGGCCAGAACAGAGUCCUCAGGGAAGGCCAGUGGGGACAAGACAGAAAAAGUCACCAUCCAUCAACACCAUCGACGUUUGAGUGAAGAAACACACCCAGAAGAGAGCUGCACUAACAACUUGGGGAUGGGGGUGGGGUCAGGGAAAGCCCAAGAUGGUGAUCUGCUGGACACUCCCAGAGGGUAAUGACAUGCCCACAAUCUCAGGCCUGGUACCCAUCCUCUUUCCACUGUGAGCAGAGCCAGUCUGUUAAGAGUCUGUGCCCCUGGACCUGGGGAGCGGAUAUCAGUUGGGAUAUCUCCUCCCAUCCCCUGGUCCAGGGGAGAGUCACUUGUUCUACCCUAUCCCAUUAGGUCCCAAAUAGGGGCCCCAUUCCACCUGUAUCAGGACUCUCAGCAGCCUCAGCUGCCCCCACAUCUUGCCUCUGGGCCUCAGAGAGCCGUGUUUCUGUGAGUACUCCUCUUUCCCCAGCAAACAAAAGGAAUUGUCGCAGCCUAGAGGCAGAUACUGCACUGCACUACUCCAAUGUCUUCCAUGGAGCCUCAGGUGCUCCCCCCUCACCUGGCAGCCCCUUCAGCUGCCAGUGAUCUCACUCCUUGGACAUUUUUCCAAUAAAAGUUCUUGGGCAAACUGGAGCUGACUGUAUAGUAUGCCGAAGACAUUUCCUCACCUCGUCUCUCUCCUGACCCUCCAAGGGCCCCUCACACCACCACCUACUUGACAGGAGCAGAUUCUCAUUGCAAGGUGUAAUAACACUCCACCCUGGGAUAGGGACCAGGAAGAAGAGGUGUAGAAAACUAGAACCCCAGAUUCUGUUGCUUUGUUGGGUGAGAAGGGGAAAAAGACAAGAGAAAGAUGUAAGUUCCGGGACCACUGGAAACUAAGGCAUGUCAUAUGAGAGGGCAGUAGUUUUUGUAUCUUCACUGCUCGCAUCAACAGCACAGCUCCUCACCACUUAUUCUUCUGACUCCUCCAUCAACCCUGGGCUAAUGGUCAGAUAAGGACUAAGCAGUGUCUUAGGGACUAAUGAACCGACAGCUACACUCGUGGAUUCCUGGUGCCACAUGCUCCUAUCCUAUGUGUUCCUGUGUCUGUUCCUCCCUCCUUUGCAUUCCCUUUCCUCUCUGUCUCUGUUUCGUCAAAGUCAAUAAUAACUGUAAAUCAUAAAUGAGUUUAUAUUCAUGCUCUGCCACCAUAUCCAGAGGAAGAUUCUGAAAAUAAAACUGAGGGGUUGGGACUCCCCUGUCAAAAGAA